rnacentral:piRNA from 1 species
UUCAUGUGUUUGCUCUGAGGUGGGUCUGA